CAGGUCCCAGGGAGGCGUCCCAGCUAG
rnacentral:sRNA from 1 species